rnacentral:rRNA from 1 species
AUGCACGCUGGCGGCGUGCCUCAUACCUGCAAGUCGAGCGAACAGACGAGGAGCUUGCUCCUUUGACGUUAGCGGCGGACGGGUGAGUAACACGUGGAUAACCUACCUAUAAGACUGGGAUAACUUCGGGAAACCGGAGCUAAUACCGGAUAACAUGUUGAACCGCAUGGUUCAACAGUGAAAGACGGUCUUGCUGUCACUUAUAGAUGGAUCCGCGCCGCAUUAGCUAGUUGGUAAGGUAACGGCUUACCAAGGCAACGAUGCGUAGCCGACCUGAGAGGGUGAUCGGCCACACUGGAACUGAGACACGGUCCAGACUCCUACGGGAGGCAGCAGUAGGGAAUCUUCCGCAAUGGGCGAAAGCCUGACGGAGCAACGCCGCGUGAGUGAAGAAGGUCUUCGGAUCGUAAAACUCUGUUAUUAGGGAAGAACAAAUGUGUAAGUAACUAUGCACGUCUUGACGGUACCUAAUCAGAAAGCCACGGCUAACUACGUG